rnacentral:siRNA from 1 species
UAAAUUUAGUGCCGCCUUGUC